GAUCCUGGCUCAGAAUCAACGCUGGCGGCGUGCCUAACACAUGCAAGUCGCGCGCGAAAGGGGGGCAACCCCCCCAAGUUAAAACGGCGAACGGGUGAGUAACGCGUGGGUGAUCUGCCUCUGAGUGGGGAAUAACACCGGGAAACUGGUGCUAAUACCGCAUGACAUCCUCGGGUCGUACCGAGGAUCAAAGCCGGGGACCGCAAGGCCUGGCGCUUGGAGAUGAGCCCGCGUCCGAUUAGCUAGUUGGCGGGGUAAUGGCCCACCAAGGCUCCGAUCGGUAGCCGGCCUGAGAGGGCGGACGGCCACACUGGGACUGAGACACGGCCCAGACUCCUACGGGAGGCAGCAGUGGGGAAUUUUUCGCAAUGGGGGAAACCCUGACGAAGCAACGCCGCGUGGAGGAUGAAGGCCUUCGGGUCGUAAACUCCUGUCGACUGGGAAGAAUGCACACGACCCAAUACGUCGCUGUGUUGACUGUACCGGUGGAGGAAGCCACGGCUAACUCUGUGCCAGCAGCCGCGGUAAUACAGAGGUGGCAAGCGUUGUUCGGAAUUACUGGGCGUAAAGGGCGCGUAGGCGGUUCGUCAAGUCCCGUGUGAAAUCCCUCGGCUCAACCGAGGAACUGCGCGGGAAACUAGUGAGCUUGAGUUCGGGAGAGGGAAGCGGAAUUCCGGGUGUAGCGGUGAAAUGCGCAGAUAUCCGGAGGAACACCGGUGGCGAAGGCGGCUUCCUGGACCGACACUGACGCUGAGGCGCGAAAGCUAGGGGAGCAAACG
rnacentral:rRNA from 1 species